rnacentral:rRNA from 1 species
AUUGAACGCUGGCGGCAUGCCUUACACAUGCAAGUCGAACGGUAACAGGUUAAGCUGACGAGUGGCGAACGGGUGAGUAAUGUAUCGGAACGUGCCCAGUCGUGGGGGAUAACUGCUCGAAAGAGCAGCUAAUACCGCAUACGACCUGAGGGUGAAAGCGGGGGAUCGCAAGACCUCGCGCGAUUGGAGCGGCCGAUAUCAGAUUAGGUAGUUGGUGAGGUAAAGGCUCACCAAGCCGACGAUCUGUAGCGGGUCGGAGAGGACGACCAGCCACACUGGGACUGAGACACGGCCCAGACUCCUACGGGAGGCAGCAGUGGGGAAUUUUGGACAAUGGGCGCAAGCCUGAUCCAGCCAUGCCGCGUGCGGGAAGAAGGCCUUCGGGUUGUAAACCGCUUUUGUCAGGGAAGAAAAGGUUCUGGCUAAUACCUGGGACUCAUGACGGUACCUGAAGAAUAAGCACCGGCUAACUACGUGCCAGCAGCCGCCGUAAUAC